UGAUAUUGUCAAGUUCAAAUC
rnacentral:misc_RNA from 1 species